GGCAACCAUCAGUUCUCUGUAUUCAUGGGUCUGUUUCUGCAUUGUUUUGUUUUUUAGAUUCCAUGUAUAAGUGAAAUCAUAUGGUAUUUGUCUUUCUCUGUCUGACUUAUUUCACUUAACAUUAUACCCUCUAGGUCCAUCCAUGUUGUUUCCCAUAGCAAGAUCUCAUUCUUUUUUAUGGCUGAGUAGUAUUCUCUCUCUCUUUUUCUCUUCCUCUCUCUGUGAAUGUGUGUGUGUGUGUGUGAAAUGGCUAUGGUAAAUAAUGCUGCACUAAACAUAGUAUUCAUAUAUCUUUUUGAAUUCGUGUUUUCGUUUCCCUUGGGUAGAUACUCAUUAGUAGAUUAAUGUAUAAUCUUUUUUUAAGUAAUGAUUUGAUAGAUGUCUAGGGAGAGUUGAGAGGUUACAGAAUAUCAGUAAAUUACUGAAUGAUGGAAGGAGGAGGAAAGUGGGCAAUAAAGCCAUGAAUCUGGUUGUUUUUUUUCCCUAAAGUUGCACUGGCCAAUGUAGUAGCCAUUGGCCAUGUGUGCUUACUUGAACUGAAAUUAAAUUAAAAGUUCAGUUUCUCAGGUUUCAGUGCCACUAUCUGUGUAGUCACCAACCUCAUUUCAUGUGCUCUGUAGCCACUGCUGUACUGUGGUUAGUGGCUACUGAACUGAGUGAUAGAAAGAACCUUCUAUCAUUGCAGUUUGUUUCCAUCAAGCUCUGUUGCAACAGGGAUGUUUUGGAGGGAUGUGUGUAUCUAGCUUUUGUUUUAAAUCCAGAAUCAUACCUUGUAUAAUUUUUUUUAUUAUUCUUUUGAUAAAUAUAGUGUUCAUAUCCUGAUGCCCUUCAGAUGUUAUUUGGACCUUGAUCAUUUCUGAAGUCCUGAGGGUCACUAAUAAUGAAGUGGUUUGAUCUUUAAGAUAUGUAUUCAAAUUAUUUUCAGAGAGUACUGACUUACCACUGGCAAAAAUCUGAAAAAGGUUUAAAAAGGAAAAGAAUAAAAAUUACUUGUAUCCCACAAACUUUUCAGGAAGUACUUUUUCACAUUUUGAUGUAUUCCUUUCUAAGUGUAUAUAUGUGUGUAUAUUUAUAGACAUACAUACAUGUAGCGUGCAUAUACCUCACAUAGAGUCAUACUGGGAAUAUAGUUUGACUUCUAUUUUUUUAUUGUAAUAUUAUGUUGUGAAUAUUAUUUUUAUUCCCUAGUCUUUAGAAGCAUAUUUUAAAAUUUUUAUUACAGAAUUUAAAACACAUGGAAACUUUUGCUCUUCAAAAGAUACCAUUGAGAAAACUAUAAAAUAAUAUAUGUAGCAAAUGGCAGAAUGUAUCCAGAGAUAUAUAGAUAUAUAGGUAUAUAGAUAAGGAACUUGAGUUUAUAAUGUAUAAAUACUUCUUAAAACUCAAAAAUAAGCCAGACACCCCAAUUAAAAAAAUAGAAAUCUUUAUUAAAGGAGUUAUGUGAAUGGCAAUAAGUUCAUGAAAAGGUGUUCAGCAUCAUUAAUCACUAGAGAAAGACAAAAUCACAUUGCCACACUAAUACACACCAACUAGAAUAAUGUACAUUAAGUGGUAAGUGGAUAAAUAGUUGUGGUAUAUUCAUACAAUGAAAUACUAUUUAGCAGUAAAAUAGAAAAAAAGUACUGGUAUAUGUAUCACCAUGCAAAAAAAAAAAAAAAAAAAAGUCCUGCUAAGAGAAAC